rnacentral:rRNA from 1 species
UACAGAGGUCCCAAGCGUUGUUCGGAUUCACUGGGCGUAAAGGGUGCGUAGGCGGUUUGGUAAGUCUCUUGUGAAAUCUAUGGGCUCAACUCAUAGUCUGCAAGGGAAACUGCCGGGCUUGAGUGUGGGAGAGGUGAGUGGAAUUUCCGGUGUAGCGGUGAAAUGCGUAGAUAUCGGAAGGAACACCUGUGGCGAAAGCGGCUCACUGGACCACAACUGACGCUGAUGCACGAAAGCUAGGGGAGCAAACAGG